CCUGAUCCUAGAAAAAAAAAGGUGGAUUGGUCCUGUCCUAACCCACAACCUACGUGGGCUAGCGUCAAGCUGGGUUUUUACAGUCCAUUUUAGCAAGUGGGCUGAGCUCGGCCCAGCCCACAUAAUCAUAGCCCACGUGGGCUAGAGCCAGACCAGCCUAUUUUGAUAGCUCUACUGCAGAUCAUACACGCCAUCUAGGGUCUAGGUGGAAUCUCAUGCCAAUCUCCAUGCUGACCUUAGGGUUUUUUGAAAGGAAUUGAAGUUCAAGGAUUCAAGUAGAAGGGCAAUGCUCCAGCUCCACAUCAGCUCUACUCUACGGCUGCAUGAAUUGCCAGACCAAAAACCCUCAUUCCAAGCAAUACAUUGUUUGGAAAUAACCCUCAAAAAGCCUUAGCAUGGGAGCCAAGUCAUUUGCAACCUACUGCCUGGUCGGCUGAGCCCGGCCCAGCCCAC
rnacentral:lncRNA from 1 species